rnacentral:rRNA from 1 species
AUGACCUUUGAUACUGAGAAUGAGGUGCGAGAGUACUACAACAACUACGCUAAAGCAAAGGGCUUUGGUGUGACAACAAGAAGCUCAAACAAUGAUGAUAAUGGACAGCUGAAGUAUCUUACACUUUCGUGCUCUCGGUAUGGUAAGACUUAGUCCAACUCAAGAAAUAUGUUGAAACAAAAUCCAACAACCGGGUUAGGAUGUAAAGCUAAAAUCAAUAUUACCCGUGGUCCUGAUGGGACGUUUCAUCUUUCAACCGUAAUUGUAGAUCAUAAUCAGACAUUAAGUCCACACAAGUCUCGGAUAUUCAGAUGCAACCAAAAGUUAGACUUCCAUAUGAAGUGAAGGCUUGAGCUGAAUGACCGGGCUGGAAUUCGAGUAAACAAGAAUUUCAAUUCUUUUGUUGUGGAAGCAAAUGGUCAUGAGAACCUAACUUUUGGUGAAGAGGAUGCUCGCAAUUUUCUAGAGAAAACAAUAAGGUUGAAACUUGGCAGAGGUGAUGCUGAAGCGAUUCGUGAUUAUUUUGUGAAGAUGCAAUCCGACAACCCAAAAUUUUUCAGUGUCAUGGACCUUGAUGAUGAAUCUCGACUAAGGAAUGUUUUUUGGGCUGAUGCAAGAAGUAGAGCAGUGUAUGAUUCUUUUCAUGACGUCAUUAGUUUUGACAGAACAUAUUUGACGAAUAAAUAUGAUAUGCCUUUUGCUUGUUUUGUCGUAGUGAAUCAUCAUGGACAAUCAGUUUUGCUUGGAUGUGCUCUAUUAUCAAAUGAAGAUACCGAAACAUUUGUUUGGUUAUUUCAAGCAUGGCUCACAUGCAUGUCAAAUCGCCAUCUAAAAGCUAUUGUAACCGAUCAAGGAAAAGCAAUUCAGAAUGGUGUGGAAAGAGUUUUUCCAGAAUCUCGAUAUAAAUGGUGUUUGUGGCAUAUAAUGAAGAAGAUA